rnacentral:rRNA from 1 species
UACGUAGGGUGCAAGCGUUGUCCGGAAUUAUUGGGCGUAAAGAGCUCGUAGGCGGUUUGUCGCGUCUGCUGUGAAAACUCGGGGCUUAACUCCGGGCCUGCAGUGGGUACGGGCAGACUAGAGUGCGGUAGGGGAGACUGGAAUUCCUGGUGUAGCGGUGAAAUGCGCAGAUAUCAGGAGGAACACCGAUGGCGAAGGCAGGUCUUUGGGCAUUAACUGACGCUGAGGAGCGAAAGCAUGGGGAGCGAACAGG